rnacentral:rRNA from 1 species
UAUGAACGCUGGCGGCGUGCCUAAUACAUGCAAGUCGAGCGAACGGACGAGAAGCUUGCUUCUCUGAUGUUAGCGGCGGACGGGUGAGUAACACGUGGAUAACCUACCUAUAAGACUGGGAUAACUUCGGGAAACCGUAGCUAAUACCGGAUAAUAUUUUGAACCGCAUGGUUCAAAAGUGAAAGGCGGUCUUGCUGUCACUUAUAGAUGGAUCCGCGCUGCAUUAGCUAGUUGGUAAGGUAACGGCUUACCAAGGCAACGAUGCAUAGCCGACCUGAGAGGGUGAUCGGCCACACUGGAACUGAGACACGGUCCAGACUCCUACGGGAGGCAGCAGUAGGGAAUCUUCCGCAAUGGGCGAAAGCCUGACGGAGCAACGCCGCGUGAGUGAUGAAGGUCUUCGGAUCGUAAAACUCUGUUAUUAGGGAAGAACAUAUGUGUAAGUAACUGUGCACAUCUUGACGGUACCUAAUCAGAAAGCCACGGCUAACUACGUG